UCAUUUGUAAUUCAUCAAGCAAACAAUUCAAGUUCUCUCUAAUACAAAGCUUCCUUUAGGAAUUCUCUUGUGUUUUUUCUAGCAUUCCCUUAGUGAUAUUGAGUAUAGUAAGGCUGACUUGGCAUAGUAAGAACGUGAACAAGUUGUGCAAGAUCGUGAGUGAGUUGUCAAGUGCCACAUGUGUACUUAGUUAAUCACUAACGAUGUGACAACGUGGUAUCAGUGCAAAGGUUGCAACUAAAGGAAAUGGCGAACGACGGAGAAAUCAACAUUGCCAACACCCAAGCCAAAAUUAUCCACG
rnacentral:lncRNA from 1 species